UGGGUAACCUGCCUCAAAGAGGGGAAUAGCCUCCCGAAAGGGGAGAUUAAUACCGCAUAAUAUGUUUAGGUCGCAUGACUUUAACAUCAAAGGAUUUUCUUUUAGAAAAUUCCACUUUGAGAUGGACCCGCGGUGCAUUAGCUAGUUGGUGAGGUAACGGCUCACCAAGGCAACGAUGCGUAGCCGACCUGAGAGGGUGAUCGGCCACAUUGGAACUGAGACACGGUCCAGACUCCGUAGGGACGG
rnacentral:rRNA from 1 species